AGUGAACGCUGGCGGUAGGCCUAACACAUGCAAGUCGAACGGCAGCACAGUAAGAGCUUGCUCUUACGGGUGGCGAGUGGCGACGGGUGAGGAAUACAUCGGAAUCUACUUUUUCGUGGGGGAUAACGGAGGGAAACUUACGCUAAUACCGCAUACGACCUACGGGUGAAAGCAGGGGAUCUUCGGACCUUGCGCGAUUGAAUGAGCCGAUGUCGGAUUAGCUAGUUGGCGGGGUAAAGGCCCACCAAGGCGACGAUCCGUAGCUGGUCUGAGAGGAUGAUCAGCCACACUGGAACUGAGACACGGUCCAGACUCCUACGGGAGGCAGCAGUGGGGAAUAUUGGACAAUGGGCGCAAGCCUGAUCCAGCCAUACCGCGUGGGUGAAGAAGGCCUUCGGGUUGUAAAGCCCUUUUGUUGGGAAAGAAAAGCAGCAGGUUAAUACCCCGCUGUUCUGACGGUACCCAAAGAAUAAGCACCGGCUAACUUCGUG
rnacentral:rRNA from 1 species